GAGCAGGCGGCGCCGAUUCCGCUCCGCGCGGCGCUGGCCGCUUCGCUGCACCCGGGGCUUCGGCGGGGCUGCGGGAGCCGCGCUGGCCGGGCCGCGGCGCCGCCUGUCCUCACCUGCCCGCCCGCCUCACCGCGGAUGGCGCCGGCGACAGGGGCUGCGGGGUGCGCGCGGGCUGCUCGGAGGCGCUGUGGCGGGCGAGGGCGCGGGUGGCUGGAGCACCCGGCCCGCGGCAAGGACCGGCUGGCGGCAGGCGGGGCGCGCGGAGCCCGGGGCUCGGCCGAGACGGAGCGAAAGAGAAACGCAGCUCGGAACUGGCCCUUUAAGAAAACAUUCCGUGUUCGGCGCUCCCGCCCGGGGCCCGCACCCCGGACACUUUAAAAGGACCCAGGUGGCCCCGGAGGCGAGGUGACUAUCCCCCCACCCUGCCCCUGCGUCGCGGCGCGUCGCGCUGCUGCUCCCGCCCCAGCCGGGGCCGAAGAUGGGGCGGCGGCUGCGGUUUUCCACACGACUUCCUUGGAUCUCGGGGCACACGCGCCGAUAGUUCGGACGCGAGUCCGGGCUGGUUUUGCUCCGUUUUACUGCGUUUGAUUACUAAUUUAAAAGCUUUGCGUUCCCCGUCGCCCCGGCCCGCUUUUCUCCUGCAUUCUCCCCUCGGCCCCCGUCCCCGCCCUGCGAUCGCUGGAGGGGGCGUCGGGGCUCGCGCGCCAGAACCCGGCUCCUCCGAAGCCCCCUCCGGGCCCCACCGCCCCCCUCGGGCCUCCCGGCCCCCGCCUCCUCCCCUUCGCCCCCACCCAACGGCUGCUGCUUCGGGCUUCGCGGCUCAAAAACAACAGCGGAGGCGCCGCCAGCUCCGCGCUCCGCCACUGCCCAGGCCGGCGGGCGGCACUCGGACCCGCCGCCCUCGGUCCCUCGCGAGGCCACGGAGGCCAACACGCCUCGCACGGGGGGACAGCGCGGGGGCAGCCGUCCAAACACCAGGCGUCCUCGGCUGGUCGUCCCAGGGCGCCCGCACCUCUCCGCCCGCGCUCUCCUGCCGCCGCGCCCCCAAGUCCCCAAACUCCGAGGCGCUGCGGUGGAGGGGCCGGGCUGAGCGCAGGCAGGGUGGCCCGGGCCCAGGAGCCUGACGGCCUGAGUGCGGAUUUCUCAUCUGAGUAUCUGGGAAUCGAGAAUGAAUUGGAAGAAAACCGAGGCGCUGCCCUGGCCAGGUUGCUGCCCCGCACCCUUCCGGAGCACCGAAGUCCUGCCCGGCAACGGGACUUGGAGCUGCCGCAGAGUCAGCCUGAGCCCGAGGCAGGGGUCGCGCCCGCGAUGCGGGGUCUCUGCGCCGCCCCGCGAGGCUCCUGGCCGUGCCCUCCCUGCCCUUUGUUGUGUAAUGAGACCUGUGGCGGCUCCACUGAGACCCACACGUGCAACUCCGCGCCUCCGCGUUAAAGGAGGUGAAACGCAGCAGCCCUGAGAAACCCCGAGACCCCGGUGUCCUAGCAGAGGCGCCCCGGAUGGGGAGGGGCGCGGGGCCGGCGCCACCCCAGAGGAAAAGCCCAGCGGAGCCGGGUUGGGCAGGAGCUGGCGGCGGCGGUGCGCUGGGCCUUCUGCCUUGGAUCCUCCGCGGUCGGCACCGCUUCCCUGCUCAGAUUCGAACCCAGAUUCGGCUCCCAAGGCUCCCACGACUCCAGGGUGCCCAGUCUUGCAGCCAGCUCGCCGCCCGAGCCCCGGAUGGAGGAAGCGCUCACUGGCCGCUACCUCCGCUGUUUCUGGCACCAGGCUUUCCUGGGAGAUUGGAAAUGCCCCAGGUGGGAUCCAGACCGCCAGCGCUCACCCCACCCCCAAUACGUGGGCCACUGAGUCAGGCCAGGAUGAGGCUCUUGCUCCCUGGGCAUGUUCUCCUGCCCCACACUUGGUGAGAAUGUCUCCCAGACUUGAGCAGCAGGAGCCAGGAGACCACAGGGGCCCUUGGGGAUGGCUGACUUGGCUCCCACUAGACAGAGGGGAACAUGGAGGCGGGCUGCUUGGACCCUAUACCUCGAAGGGGACUCGAUGGGGGCUGAAUGCUGGAAGGAGCCUGCGUUUGGUCUAGAAUGGUGGGGGUGGGUGGGAGACACAAGUCAUGGAAAAGGCCAUUUCUUCCCUAUUGAGACCUCUGAAAUGACCCGAAGUGGGUGCUUCCUCCAGCAUCAUGCCUCAGCCGCACACUGGGGCUACAGGAAUCCCCCCAGACCCUGGGGUCAAUAUUUCGGGGCCCCUUUGAACCUUCUUCUCACCCGAGGCCUAGGAAACCUUCCUGUGCCCCAGAAUACUUGGAGAGGACAGGACACAGGUCCCAGUUGUGGCCCAGUGGCGGCAAGGUUCCGUUCCCUGCACUGCUCAAAGAUGGGCAGCUUCCGGGGACCGGCUUGCACGAUGCCGUGGCCACCCCAGUGGAGACCCUCUGCCCGGCUUUGUGUCCUGGCGUCUCCACCAGGGUGCCCAGCUCUCCUGCGCAGAUGUCGGGAGUAUCUGAAUGCCCCAUGGGCACUUCGAGGGCCCAAUCCGGAGUUUUUUGUUUUGUUUUGUUUUAAGAGAUUGAGACUGUGAACCUGAACUCCCUUGAUCUCCUCCCGUUGGGCCCAGGAGGGAGCCGAAUCCAGGCCCAACCGGGCUCACUGAGAAGCUGCAGGAAGCCCCCAACGACUCCUACUCCUGUGCGGCCCAUACUGGGCCAGGACGCUGCAGUGGCCGAGCCGCUGGGUGUCUGCAACGGGGAGCGCCCCCGCCGCUGGGGGCAAUAAACGGAAUCGGUUUCACACGCUUUCCCUCUUGAUCUAAGAACCUUUAAAAAUCCGCCAACGAAUGCUGUUGCCUGGAUGCGCUGCGUAUGACCUUCAGCCGUGUGUUCACGCGCGCCCGCAGCCGUGGAGUGACGGUCCCUCCUGCCGCCCGCAACCCCGGGGCCUCCGGUCUGCGCACACCGGGAGCAACUUCGUUACCCACAGCGCCCGCGUCCUGCGGCUCGCGCGGAACUGCGCGCGGGAAGGUGGCAGAGCGACGCUCCAGAACGCUGCUUGCGUAGACGCUGCCGCUGCCUUCAGAUCCCAAUUCGGCCGCGCGCGGGCGGGGCCCUGGCAGCAACGAAAAUGGCGAGCCUCGUAGCCUUCCGGGCCCGGCGGCCGCAUUCCGGGAGUCGCCAGGAGGCGCUGCAAGGCUCCGUGCUCCUGGAGCUUCGAGUCUAUGGUAUGAGUUAAACAGAAGGGUAUCUCCUCCAUCAGAUCUACAGGAGGGUGUCUCCUCCAUCAGACCUGGAGCUUCCAAGGCAUUUUACCCGAAGCUCCAGCACCUGGCCCAAGGCUGGGCUGUGCUGUGUCCUCAGUGAAAGAAUGGAUGAGUCACAACUGAAUGACUGAAGAGCUGAACCAGUAGGUUUCCCUGGGGUUUCCACAGGCAGUUUCAGCCCAGGGGAAGACCCAGGGAGAUGAGGGUCACCUUGCAGGACGCUGUGGUGUGGAGGCAGCAGCCUGGGGCAGGGACUGUGCUGAGUGCCUGAGGCCGAGCCACCCCUCUGUAACCUCCAUAAUCCAUCAGGUCUCAGAGGGCCGUCCUAUGUUCAGUAAGCCAAUGCUAGCACCAUGUGACGAGGACACAGCAGUGAGCAGCUGCCCAGGCCCCUUGCACUGUGUUUAGAAAAGGAAGCUGGCUUGUUCAGGGGUCCCCAGCAGGAUGGGGGGCGGGGGCAGGGACCAUGGCAGAGCGAGAGUUCUAGGAGAGAAGCUGGUCCACCCACAGGCUCCCUGGCCUGGGUGCUGUACCAGGCAGGGUGCUGGGCGUUGUGCUGCUCACUUCCCACCCCUCGGUUGCACCUGGGGGCUGUGUGGCCUUCCCAGUCCUGUUGUGGGUGCUGUGAUUGUGCCCACCUUACAGAUGGGAAAACUGAUGCUCAGAGGCUUGAGCAACCUAGGCCAGGACCUGUCCUUAGAGGCAGAAGCAGGACUCAGAGGAAGAGCACCCUGACCACAAAGCCCCAGGUGACUUACACUGCAGGGAUGGCACUCUCCGGGGUGUGCAGGGUGGCAGAGGUGCCUCUGCAGAGAGAUCCCUGCCUGGGACCCUUUCCUGGGGCUCUUCUGGUGCUGGGAGUGUGAGCACCACGAAAGCCCCACUACAGUCAUGCCACCCAGAGGGCGCUCUGGCCUCUUGGUCACCCGUGUCCUUCUGACAAUGACCAACACACUUUUUUGCCAGGGUCCAGAAAGACUCAGCCACUGGAGUCUGUAUUUCCUGAGUCCGCCUCUCACUGGUAAGUCCUGAGCCCCGUUCCUUCCCAGCACCCACUCUUGGAGCAGCUAUCCAGGGCUGUGCUGUGGCUGCUGCGGUCAGGGAGAGGUCGCAUGCUCCAGCCAGGGUCUUUGGGGGCUCAGUUUAGAACUAAUACGCCAAGCAAGUCGUGCUGAGUGUCUGGGCUUCUUCUAGGAAGGUAUUUCCAAUCAUCAAAUGUGCCAUUAAAAAAAAAUGCAUGUCAGUUAAGUGUGCACUAAGCCUGGACCACAUGGGACAUAGUGGUUCCAAUAAACACGAAUAAGCCAGUUUUCACAUUAGAGAAAUACCAGUUUCUUGCAGAAAUGCGGUGCUUUUAAAAGAGGUUAAUUAAUAAACAGCAGGUAAUUGUUCAUGGCACAUUGUGGCGGAGGGUAAUUUUCAUUUUAGAGGAUGGAAGGGCCAAAUACCCCUCCCCACUCAGCAUUUUUCUGUAAUAAUCACCUCAGCUUCACCUCCGCCUUUCAUUUUUACAGCUGGAGCUGUUUAUCAUCGCUCCAACUUUCACUAAAAAGGAAAAACUAUCACUUAAACAAAGCCAUUGAAACCCCAGCAUCAUAUGUGGAUUUUUUAACAUAAAUAAAUCAUACAAACUAAGAUUUAUGUUCUUGGAAUGAUGUCAUUCAUUGAAGGCUGCCUUCCCAAUCAAAGCCGUGUUUAGUGAUUUUUCUUUAGUGGGUGUGCUUUUUGCUAAAUAGGAAAAACCCGUUCGGUCAUCCUUGCUGCUGUCUUUUCUCGGUUUGGCCCAGAACAUCAGAAAGGUUUCUCCCUGGGCCAGUCCACAGAGCCAAAUGGUGAAAAUGGUUUUAACUCCACAGACUGCUUUUAAAGCCUUUGCUUUGGAACCAUUAAGUCUGAGAUUAAAAGACUGUUAAACCUUCCCUAAGACUGUGUGCAGGCCUCAGCAGAAGUUUAUGGUCCUCCCAGGUCUCCCAGAGCCUAGAAUGAAUCUCGCUGCAGAGUAACGCAUCUGCAGAAGCUUCACCAAAUUGAAAUGAGUGAGGAGCAUUAAAAUCAGCACACGUGGAUAAAUAAGGUGUGGCAUAUCCACGCAAUGGAAUACUAUGUCGCCAUGAAAAGGAAUGAAGAGCUGACACUUGCUACAACAUGAAUGAACCUGGAAAACAUGAUGCUCCAUGAAAGAAGUCAGUCAUAAAAGGUCACACUUUGUGUGAUUCCAUUUAUAUGAGAUGUCCAGGAUGGGCCAAUCCAUAGAGACUGAAGACAUAUUAGUGGUUGCCUGGCUGUAGAAGUAGAGGCAGUAGUACUCUGGGCCAAUGAAGGCACUGGGAACAGAUGGGCCACACCAGAGUCCAGCUUCAGCCCUCCAGGCAUUGAAAGGAGACCAUUAGCUGGAAGCCAGUGGGAAGUCGGGCUGACUAAUAGGGGCAGGUGUCCAGGAGGCUGCAGUGUGAGGCUUUCAUUUGUUCAAGCAACACACAUUCACUGCACUCUUACCGUGUGCCAGGGACAGCCAUAGGCCCUGAGACUACAGCAGUGAUGGAGACAGACGCUGCUCCCAUCAAGGUCAUGUUUUGAUGGGGAAAGCAGCAAUAAGCCAAAUACAUAUGGGUCUGGGGUGCCAGGCUAGACGAUUCUAGUGCAAUGGACAUGAAAGAGGAGAGAGGUGAAGGCACAGUCUUCAACUGGUUGUUCAAGAAAGGCCUCACUGAAGUGGUGACAUUUGGGCAGAGACGUGAGGGAGGGAUGAGGGAGCCACCCAAGUGUCUGGGAGAACAGCACUGGGGCAGAUGGAACAGUCAGUGCAAAGGCCCUGAGGCUCCAGUGACCAGUGUGGCUGCUGCAGAAGGACGGGGAGGGGAGGAGGGGAAAACCGUGUAGAGUGGCAGUGGGAGGACAAAUUAAGGCUGCAGGUGGAAUUAAAGUUGCUCUUUCAGCGAUUUUAAAGUAGGGAGACGAUUCCGGAUUAUCUGGGUGGCCUUAAUGUCAUCAUGAGGAUCUUUAAAAGUGGAAGAGGGAGGCAGGAGAGUCAGGAUUAGGAUGAAGUGGAGAUAUGUGAGAAUAUGAGGAAGAUUCCCCUGGCUGUGCUGGCUCUGAAGACAGAGGAAGGGCCCACGAACCAAGUUACGUGAAUACGGACAGACUCUAGAAGCUAAAAACGGCAAGGAAAUGGAUUCUAGAGCCUCCCCAAGGAAGGCAGCCCUAUGCAUGCCUUGACUUUAGGACACUGAGAUCCAUUUCGGACUUCUGACCCACAAAACCAAAAUCUAGUAAGUGUGUGCUAUUUGAAGCUGCUAAGUUUGUAGUAAUUUGUUACAGCAGCCACCAGAAAUUAAUAUGGGGAGGAAAUAGGGAUUUCAUCUGUCCAUAGUAAAGACAUGCCGGGGGUGAUAAGAAUCUGAGCCCAUCUCACCUAGAUGAGAAUGACAGAGUAAUGACCACAGAAUAGUGGUGAUGGCCAUCCUCACAUCUGGCUCCUUAGCCACCCAUGCCAAUAUGGACUGACUGCCUUCUACGUCUUGUCCAUGGCCAUUCUGUAGGGAAAUUCCCUUGCAUCUCCUGCUACCUUUACAGACUACAUAUUUUGUUGGAUUACUUUCUCAUUUUCAUGAAGCAUAUCUUCUAGUAACUUCUGAUAAAAGAUGCAUAGGAGAUAACUAUUUUAGGACUUCCACAGUACCAGAAUGAUGGAUGGGCUGGGUAUAGAAUUCUAGAUUGGAGAUGAUUUUUUUGUUCAGAAUUUUAGAGAAUAUUGCCCCAUUGUCUUCUUGCUACCAGGCAGCUAUUGAGAAGUCUAGGAAGAUUCUGUUUCCUCGGACUUUGUGUGCAGUGUGAUUUUUCCUUUUUGGAAUUUUAUAGAAUCUUCUUUGUCCCAAGUGGUCCCAUAUUCCACAAUGAUGUGCCCUAGAAUGUGUCUGUUUUUAUCCACUGUGAGUUCUUUCAAACUGAAAACUUGUGUCCAUUAGCUCUGGGAAAUUUUCUUGAAAUACUUUGUUAGUGAUUUCUACUCUCUGUUUUGUUUCUUCUUCAUUUUUGAAACUUGAUAUUUAUAUGAGCUUUCUUCUGCACAUAUAAUCUGUGUGUCCUCCAAAUGGCUUUGCUCUGUUUGUUUCAAUCUGUCUUUCCUGAGGCAUCUGCUGAUUCUUGGCUUUCUGCCCAUGAUGAGGAGCUGACUGGAAGUUCUGACAGUAAGAGAGGAGGGGUUCAUUGCCCUUGAGACCCAUGAAUGGGAGUGAUCCUUGAUCCUUGGAUGUCAGUAUCUUUAGGAACUGACCUGAUUCCCAGAGAAGUUACCCAGGGAGCAAGGGAGGGGUCUCGCUGCCAGUCUUCUUGGAGUCAACUUGGAGUUGAAGGCAAGGGUCUUUGCAGUCAGCUGCCUGAAUUCUGGGAAAUAAACCUCUGGACUUUUGCUGGUGUCGGGGAGGGGUGGUCGCUCAGGGAGGAUAAGGAGGGGAUAGGAAUCCCCCUUUACUAAGCCUUCCUGAUCGUAGCCACUCUUGCACCCCAAGUCCUAGAGGUACCCUUUUUUUUUUUUUGACGGAGUUUCACUCUUAUUGCCCAGGCUGGAGUGCAAUGGUGCGAUCUUGACUCACUGCAGCCUCUGCCUCCUGGGUUCAAAAAUUCUCCUGCCUCAGCCUCUGGAGUAGAUGCAAUUACGGGUGCCCACCACCACGCCUGGCUAAUUUUUUUUGUAUUUUUAGUAGAGACAGGGUUUCACCAUGUUGGUCAGGCUGGUCUUGAACUCCUGACCUCAGGUGAUCUGCCCACCUUGGCCUCCCAAAAUGCUGGGAUUAUAGGCGUGAGCCACCACGCCUGGCCCCUAGAGGUAAUCUUAUACUCAGUCUUGAGUGUUAGGAUUCCCCUUGGUUAUAAAUCUGGUAAAAUCUCACCUUCCUGCUCUCUAUUCAGGAUUUUCUCUUGUCUCUGAUCCAAUUGCCACAGGUCCAUCAGCAAUUCAGCUUUCAGAAGGGAGGCCCACCCUUAUGGGUAGAUGCCUUUUGAAAUCUCUUUAUUGUGGUUGAAGUGGGGCUUACAGAGGGGACGCUAUUGAAUGGGUGUGUGUUUAGUUUGCCAUCUUAACCCGAGGCUUUUGUGGCUAUUUUAGAAAGACUGUGUCCAUUCUUAGGUCUAGGCCCGAUACCACACACAGUGUCCACACACAGGGGCUCUGACCCCACAGGGUUCUUUGGGUCCUGAUCAAUGAUCUUUCUAGAGCCUCCCCCUUGACCUGCUUCUGGCCACAGAAACAGCUGAUAAAUGAAAUUUGUUAGUUUCCUACAAUGGAGCGUUGCAUCGGCAGUGAACAUAGUGACAAGAGUGCAUGCUUAUCACCAUGCUGACAUGCCCCUGAGACAUGGGGGCGACCUUUAAGAAUGUCAGCUGAAAUAUUAACAGCGGUUUUCCCUGGGUGAUUAGAUCUGAUAAUAUUAAAACUUUUUUCUCUGUUAUGUUUCUCUGCAUUUAAUUUUUCUCCACUGACUGUAUAUUAGUGGUGGAAGUGUUACAAUGUUUAAAAAUAAGAACAUCAAAAAAUUAGCCCAGGGUGGUGGUGGCAUGUUCCUGUGGUCCCAGCUACUCAGGAGGCUGAGGCAGGAGGAUCUCCUGAGCAGAGGAGGUAGAGGUUGCAGUGAGCCAAGAUCUCACCACUGCACCCCAGCCUGGGUGACAGAGUGAGAUCCUGUCUCAAAAAAUAAAAAUAAAAAUGAGAAGAAAAUCCUAUCUGCCCUUCAAUAACCAGCUCAGCCACUGCUACCUCCCGGGAGUCUCCCGUAUUCCCACUGUUGGGAAUGCUUCCUGCACCACAUUAAAUAAACUGCAUUUUCUAAAUAUCAA